GUGGCUCCGGUCACGGUCCCACCGCCGUUGAAGCCGGGAUAUAAAUCCCCAUUAUCCCUGUUCAAUAAUCUACUCAUAAGAACUCUUAAAAAGGUGGGAAAAGAUUUGGGGUGGAUACUGAUGCACAAGAUUACAUCUCUGGGAGUGGAAAUGCAGGCCUCCUUCCUUACAAAGAUUUCCUUCCUUUUCUUUGAGAGCAUAAAGAAAAGUAGCAAAGAUACAAAGGGAAGAGGGGAAACAAACAAGUAUCUUUGGGGCCUUGAUGUGUGUAUUUAGCACGCCGCAAGCUUUCUUUCCCAAAACAGUGACUUCAAAAAUAAGUUUGAAAUAUCUUAUUGUUUCAAUUUUACUACGAAUUGUAUUAAUCUUUACAUUUUCUUACAAAAUCAUAAACAUAAAUGAUUGUAGGUUCUGUCUAA